rnacentral:lncRNA from 1 species
AACAAUACAAGAACCAAAAGAAUCUAAACAAGACCCAAGCAAAGCAAAGGACUAGACCACCAACUGUGGCAGUUCAAAGCUAAAGUGCUACUCGUCGCUUUCAACCACCGAUAAGAAAAAAUCUUGAUCUUGUCCAACAUAAGAUGCAUCGAGUUUGCUGAGCCUGUAAACAAUCGAUGAUUUCUUUCGGUCCACACAACCCAAACACAAACAAGCCAUACGAGCUGCAUGAAAGAACGUCGAGCUCUAGAACCACCUGCCGAAUCCGUAAACUGAACAAAGUGUUCUGAAAGAGUCUGAGCAGUCACCGAAGAAGAACCAAUCCAGGAGCUGACAAGUGACCAAAGAGAGCCAAAAGAACUGCAAUAGAGGAACAAGUGCUGAGCCGUCUCUACCUCUCCGCAACCAGAUACACAAAGAUGAGCCUCCGUAGAUAAAAUCCCUCUAGUAACCAGGUUUGCUUUGGUA